rnacentral:rRNA from 1 species
GAGCACGUAGGUGGGUUUGUAAGUCAGAUGUGAAAGCCUUCUGUUCAAAGGAAGAACGGCAUCUGAAACUGCGAAUCUUGAGUGUAGGAGGGGAGAGUGGAACUUCUGGUGGAGCGGCGAAAUGCGUAGAUAUCAGAAGGAACGUCGGCGGCGAAAGCGACUCUCUGGCCUAUUACUGACACUGAGUGUGCGAAAGUUAGGGGAGCAAACGGGAUUAGAUACCCCGGUAGUCCUAACUGUAAACGAUGGGCACUAAGUAGAGGGGUUUU